rnacentral:sRNA from 1 species
GUCAUGGAGCUACCAGCGGGCGUGAACAAUCACGCAGCAGUUUGACGGGUCGAUCACACCUUCGGAUGUUUGCUCCAGUCUGAAGCUCUGUGGCGGCAGUUUAAGGAAACCGAAAGGGUAACGUGACCGUCGCAGGACAACCCCGUUGAACAGCCGCGAGGAGCAUCUCACUCCGCAAGGA